rnacentral:rRNA from 1 species
CCUACGGGGUGCAGCAGUGGGGAAUAUUGCACAAUGGGGGAAACCCUGAUGCAGCGACGCCGCGUGAGUGAAGAAGUAAUUCGGUAUGUAAAGCUCUAUCAGCAGGGAAGAAAAUGACGGUACCUGAGUAAGAAGCCCCGGCUAACUACGUGCCAGCAGCCGCGGUAAUACGUAGGGGGCAAGCGUUAUCCGGAUUUACUGGGUGUAAAGGGAGCGUAGACGGCAGUGCAAGUCUGGAGUGAAAGGCGGGGGCUCAACCCCCGGACUGCUCUGGAAACUGUACGGCUGGAGUGCAGGAGAGGUAAGUGGAAUUCCUAGUGUAGUGGUGAAAUGCGUAGAUAUUAGGAGGAACACCAGUGGCGAAGGCGGCUUACUGGACUGUAACUGACGUUGAGGCUCGAAAGCGUGGGGAGCAAACAGGAUUAGAUACCCUUGUAGUC